rnacentral:tRNA from 1 species
GCCGGCAAGGUGUAACGGGUUGCACGUUAGUCUUCCAAACUAAAGGAAGCGAGUUCGAGCCUCGCUGCCGGCU